rnacentral:lncRNA from 1 species
AAUAUGCCUUUGGUUAUGAAUGUUAAUAUAAUUAUGGUGACGGAGCAAUGAAUAAAUGUAUGUGUAAUAGGAUCAUAGAUCUGAUGAAAGUUGUUUCGGGGUAGGGUGAAUUUUGUAAUGUUAAUAUAAUUAUGGUGACGGAGCAAUGAAUAAAUGUAUGUGUAAUAGGAUCAUAGAUCUGAUGAAAGUUGUUUCGGGGUAGGGUGAAUUUUGGGGUAUGACAGCUGCCCCUAUUUAAU